rnacentral:ncRNA from 1 species
UUUAAAGCAUUGACAGGAAAUAGUAGCAAGUUAUUCUUUUUUAGAGAGUCGGUGGCCGGUGUAAACCGAUAAAGGAAAUUUGCGAAUCCAUCCUUGAGCGAAGUACCGAAUGUUUUUUAAACUAGUAAGUACUUUCGGGUAAAACCGUUAUCGAUUAAAGUGGAAAGCAAAUCUAAUUUGCUUUCAAUCUGGGUGGCAACGCGGGUAACUCUCGUCCCUUUA